AUACACAUUUGUUUCAGAAAUUUGGCCAUGUUGAGAUAAUUCAGAAGUUAUCUCUUUGAUCUUCUGUUUGGUUGGAGUUCCAUUGCCUUGUUCAAAUAUGCGCUCAAGAAUCUGAAGUUGCAUAGGUGUUGGAGUCCAGCGUUGUCUACCAGUGAUUUUAUGACCAGCAGAUGUCACCAGUGGAUCGCAGUACAGAUUUCCCAGCCUGGCUCCAGCAAGAUCGUGUUGUGAAGCCAUGGAUUUAUGCAAAUCAACAAGCUGUUCACAAAUAGUAGCAUAAACAGCGAUUUGCUUCCUUAAAACUUCCAUUUGCUCAUCCGUCAUCACUUUCACAAACAUCCCACCACUGACUGUUCCGUUCAAUUCCUCCGCCGUCUGCUGCGGCGCCGACACCGGUGGCUGCUGCUGCUGUUUUUCCCAAUCCAUAAUUUUCCUCUUUGUUUUAGUCAAUUCCUUAAAAGGGUCAUCACAAAAUUGUAUCUUUGAAGUAAACAGAGAGAGUGAGUAAAAAAAGGGUA
rnacentral:misc_RNA from 1 species